rnacentral:rRNA from 1 species
UACGAAGGAUCCAAGCGUUAUCCGGAUUUAUUGGGUUUAAAGGGUGCGUAGGCGGGUUAUUAAGUCAGUGGUGAAAGCCCCAAGCUUAACUUGGGAACUGCCAUUGAUACUGAUGGUCUUGAGUACACUUGAGGUGGGCGGAAUGUGUCAUGUAGCGGUGAAAUGCUUAGAUAUGACACAGAACACCGAUUGCGAAGGCAGCUCACUAAAUUGUAACUGACGCUGAGGCACGAAAGCGUGGGGAGCAAACAGG